GACGAGCCACACAAACGUUAUUCGGAAUUACUGGGCUUAAAGGGUGCGUAGGCGGCUUGUCGCGUCGUUCGUGAAAACCCGGGGCUCAACUCCGGGCUUGCGGGCGAUACGGGCAGGCUAGAGUUCGGUAGGGGAGACUGGAAUUCCUGGUGUAGCGGUGAAAUGCGCAGAUAUCAGGAGGAACACCGGUGGCGAAGGCGGGUCUCUGGGCCGAUACUGACGCUGAGGAGCGAAAGCGUGGGGAGCGAACAGG
rnacentral:rRNA from 1 species